UUUACCCGAMGACGGUGCGCUAACCCGCAAGGGAGGCAGCCGGYCACGGUARGSUCAGCGACUGGGGUGAAGUCGUAACAAGGUAGCCGUAGGUGAACCUGCAGAAGGAUCA
rnacentral:rRNA from 1 species